rnacentral:misc_RNA from 1 species
AAUCUUAACAUGGUAUCAGAGCCUCAGUAAUAUUUUUUUUGUUUCUUGUUGAGAUUUAAAACCCAUUCUUAGGCUUCCCUGUGUAGAGAAGCCAUUGCCUCUCUAGCUCGCUACUUUAGGGUAGUCUUCGUGCCUCACCACCCCCCAAGGAGUUUGUUUGGUCGCCGACUAGCCUUCCCACAAAAUCCCGUCACCAGUGGAUUGGUGAGUAGCCCUCACGUGUUGGAUCAAGGUUUUUGCGCCGUAACCACCGCAUCUAACGUAUUCUGGUGGUCAAUCUUCUUUGCCCGUCAUUGCCUUAAAAAGUAUAGUGCAUCCUUGGUGGUUUUUUGGUGUUUUGAUGUCACCUUAUGGUGUUGGUGAACCUGGAAUGCUAUUGUGAAUUUACUAAAACUAAUACCUGUUGCUGCAAAUUCUUCUAAGGAAGCUUUUGACCUUAGUUUGAGUUGGGUUUUGGGACUUUUCUCUUGGUGGUGUUUUGGAAAUUUGGCUGCUGUGUUCUUUCAAUUCACCUGUUUUGCUUCUAUCUUCUUUUGAUAAGUUGUUCUAUUUGGG